ACACUCCACCAAAAUAUCAUAACAAAAAGCUUUGGAAGAACUGACACGCUUCGAGCAACUUUCCAUUCAUAAAGUUAAGCUGAAAACUAAAAAAUUUAAAUUUUUUAAAAAAUGAGCAGUCGUACCGUGCAAAGUGCGAAAAAAAAGACAAAAGUCAAUCGCCAGAAGAGCACAAAACAAAUGAACCGUACAAAAUCCAAGCGUCGCAAGUCACGUCCUACACGCGAGUACCAAGACAAUGAACGCGAGGUGCAGGUAUUGUUGGAGAACACAAGUCUUUCAAUCGAUAGCAGUCCGCUUUCACAUCGCAAAGAUGAAUUAACACGUAGCUUGGACUUCUUUUGUCGCACCAGCGAGGAAGAGUUAAUAUCUACAUGUAGAUCAAUACAACUUAAGCAGAAGGCAACGAAAAACGAAGUCGCAGGGAGCGAAAUACGCAUUGAUGAAGGUAGCCUCGACGAAAGUAGUGUAAGAACUGAAGAGCCGGACGAGCGUGAGGACACUUUAACAAGCGCUGAGGAGACGGACAAAGCUGCGAGCAACGAACAGUCCGCUUCACCGACUUCCACACAACAGCGCGAGCACACCGCUUCCACGUACGUACAAAUUGAUGACGAAGUUUUAGUGCAACUGAGAGACGCUGAAAUUUUUCAGCAAGAUGCCACCUUACUCUUCAAACCUCAUACACAGCUGGCGCCGGAUAUAGCCUUGGCUGCAAGCAGUGUAGUGGAUGCUGAAGGAAAGCCGCAUAAAAUAUGCGCCAACACUUGUCGUAUGCUAAAUCGACAUCAAGUCGAACAACGCGCCAGGGAUGAGCCUAUAUCUAAAGCACUUGUGGAGCAGUUGACGCGCGCACAAGCAGCAGAUUUAUCAUACAUGAAAGAUCCAACCCUUUAUCGCAGCUUCAGUGCGCAUAAAUUUCAUCCCAUCUUCUGUGAGCCAACACGUCAACCGGACGAGAUACCCAACAGGAAAUUUGUGCGUAUUUACUUGAAAGAACUGCUUUUCACAACUCAUCCACAUCAACUAGAGGAGCAUAGACUGUCCAAUGCGUUGGAAGAACUUCAUGAAAAAUAUGUGCAACGUCAGCAGCAGGGCGUGUGCGAAAAGCUGCGCGCCCAACUACAAGCAGAGCGUCAUGUUGUCAACGCAUUGCUGCAGCGGGAGUCCUAUAAUAGCGACGCGCAGGAAUCGGCGCGCUCAGUUGAGCGACGUGCGCGCAAAUUAGAAAAUCAACUGCUCAAUGUACGCGCGCUGCGCAAUCAACUCUACGAUGAGGAGGCGCAAAGCAAGCGAUUGUUGAAGGAGAUACUCGACACCUGGAAGCGCUUAAAGCAAUUAAGAAAAACGCAAGAUUUUCAGUGCACACGUUUCAAGUUACGCAUAUAUGUGCAAGAUGAGGAUAAUUCCGCGGUGGAGGCUCAUCGUUGGUCGGAGCGCUUUGAAACGGACCUGAAUGAGAUUUAUCGCGAGGAGUUAGAGAUUUACUAUCGAGCAAAACGGUUGUGGAAGGCACGUGAUCGGCGUAUGGAUAUAACAGAGCUACCGCUCAAGCCACGCAAGCCGGAUAUUACACAGCUCUCAAAGGAGUUGCGCGCCAAGUUGGCGGCAUGUUUGGGCGCACAUGGUGAGCCAAGAAUCGAUGUGCAGUUACAUCGCGUUUGCGACGAUGAGUUUUACAAUCUGCCCGGCCUGAAGCGUCUAAAGAGUUUCUUUAUGAAAAUCUAUUUUGAUGGUGAUUUUGUGAGCGCGACGCGCAGUUAUCGCAUUGAGCCCGAUUUGCGUAUACCGAUGAACGAGGUAUUUGGCGUGUUUUUGGAGCGGCGCAUGCCGAAGGACAUACGUGUGUCGCUCUUUGAGAAGUUUCGUCUACACACGGCGCGCAAAGUCGCCGACAUACAAGUGCCAAUACCGCUUGCGCUGCACACCGUUAAUAGCGAGCAACAACGCAUAACUUUUACAACGCAAAAGCCCAUAUGUGUCAGUGGCCGUCUGACUAUACGAUUUCAAUGUGAGGAGCAAAACAAUUCGAGCACACGCUGGCAAAUUCCAACUGCCACGCCUGUCGCUUCACCAACGGCUUCACUUCAAAGUUCCCAAGCGCAAGCUCGAGAGCAGCAUGCCGAACAACUACUUGCCCAGCUGGACGAAGAUGCGCAGCAGACGGAGGACGAAAGUACAUUAAGUGAUGCGACUGAAAUUGAAGAGCCGUCAGCACAUAGGUCGCUGGACACGUGCACCUUCGAAGAGGAGCUGCUACAGUUUUGUCCCAUCAAAGAGCUGGAGAACAAUCGCCGCUUCAAAUUGUUACACUCGCGUUAUAUGAAAAAUGAUGUACGCACACGUGAUCUGCGUUUCGUUGCCGCGCUGGAAAAUGAACUCGAAUUCGAUUGGUCUGAUAAGGAGGAGGCGGUUAUCGAAGCGGGCGAUUGGAUGGAUGCUAUAGACUUGCACAAACAUGAGGGUAAGAAGUAUCUGAGGCAGCUCUACGAAGCGAUACGCAGUCAAUGUGCGCGCUUGAAUGUAGCAGCGGCAAGCGCGGAAGAGCUGCUCAUCGGUGAUGUGCCAGCCAGUUGGAGCUCCUUCUUCCAAGCCUUAAGUUUGAUCUUCAAUCCCAGGGGCUCAUUGAGUGCGCCGCUCUCUCAACCAGCUGCAUCACGACCACUCGCGUUGGAUAUGUAUGCGUGUCAAAAUUUCAAGAUUGUUUUGAAUAUUGUACGUGCCACCGGCAUACCUGUGCGUAUACCAAGCUCCACGGAUAGCGAGAGUAAGGAACGCAGCAAUGACAGUCCAAAUAUGUUCGUGUCACAGAUUUACAAGUAUUCCAACGUGCGACCUUUCAUCGUCUUGAGUUAUAAGGAUAAAUUCUGUCGCUCUCUUACCGUUGAUGGCUCAAAUCCGACCUGGAAUGAGCAACUCAUUUUACAGCUAAGUGGCAGUUUGUCUGACCUACGCGACGAGCUCAAAAUCUCGCUCUUCGAUGAAGUGAUCGAGAAUCACAUGCAAGAUGAUCUCAGCGUGCGUAACAUGGACAUUUAUCAGCGCAUACAAACGAAUUGGCUGGGUGAAUAUCGCUUUCCUAUGCAUACAUUGCUGUCGCAACAGAAAUUUGAUGGCGUUAUUGAGCUUAACACACCGAAAGUGCUGUUGGGUUACAAACAGCCCACACUCGAGCACAUCGCCACGCAAGCGAACGUCAAUAUUCCUAUCGAACAAUUUCCGGAAAUAAAAGAGACUGUACGUCUUUGGUUUUACAUGAGCAUAGAGCCACAGGUGACACUGCCGCGCAUCAAUACCGCCAGCCUGGAAUGUGCCGAGCUGAAAGAUGUACGCCAUCAAUUACAACAAUGGUGUCUGCAAGCGCAGGAGCUGCGUCCACAUCGCUAUAUUGAACCGUUAGUUUGUACCACAGAGGGCAAACGUGUUUGUUUAACGCGUCUGCUGGAGCCAGUGCCCUUGCCACUAGAGCUUGCUGAGCAUAAAUUGGAGUUCGCUUGCCGUUAUGUCUCACUGCUCAAUGUGCUAAAGACCUACGAUCCCUGCAUGGCGUUCGAAGGUAUCUGGUUGAAUAAUCAAUGUGUAUUAGAUACAAAUUGGUGUUCGGUGAAGGAUCUUGGUGUGCUCUUAUGUAAUUUCCUGCUCGGCAUUGGCAUAAACUGUUGGCUAGUGCUCGGUUAUGCAACAGCUUAUGGCGAGUGCGCUUUUGUGUUGUAUAGAAGUGAAGAGGGUGAACUCUUACUCAUCGAUCCGUACACCGGUAAACGUUUUGGCACUAGAGAUGUCUUCUGUCCGCUAUACAAGACUUCCGUUGCUGUCACACAGACUAACUUAUACUACAACAUACAAUCCGAGACUCGCGCCACAAUGACUAAUUACAACUUCAAUGACACAUCCUGUUGGUUAAGCGCCUUCAGCAAGCGUAGUCCUGCGCCAUUGGGUGGCGUACAGAAACUGAAUUACACUUACCGGCUCUCUUUUAACACACACGAGCUAAAGCGCAAUAUUGAACGAAAAAUAAUGAAGAAAAUCAACUCGUGGCGUACCAUGCGAAAGACUAUUUGGAAUCGCGCUUUCCAAUCGCGUCUUCAAAGUAUACUUCAAGACCUAGAACAGCUCACUAUUUCCGGCCAUGGCUCAUACAUCGAAGCCAAAUACACAGAUCAAAUUGCAGCUGAGUUUCCGAACUAUAAGAUCUACGGCUAUGCACUUAACUUUCCCUAUACAAAUCUUACAACAAUUUCGGAGCGCAUCAAAUCAACGGGCAUACAUUUGAACUCGGACAAACGUGUUGAGUUCUGUUUGGCGACACACAUACACGUCUACCCAAAUGAUGUGCUAUCGGUGUGGAUCUUCAUGAUAUCGUUAAUACGCAAGAGUUAUUGAAUAAGAUUUAAUAAAACGUGAAAAUUUAUUAUUUGAUAGAAACCAAUAAAAAUAUAGCUACAUUUCUAUUUUUCAGAUAUCCUGCUACUGCUUUGCGCUACAAUAAUCAUAUUUUUAAUUACACUUAUACCUUGUGUUAAGCAUUACUUGCCUUUAUUGUACCCUAAGUAGGCUAAAAGAUUCAUCUGGAAGUAGCGUACAGCUGGAAAAGUUUUAAUAUAUUUGAUGCGAAUUAGUUUUAAAAGAUUACCAAACCGGAAGUAAAUUUAAAAAUACAUAGCAGAGUUGCUUUAUUACGCGAGAAU
rnacentral:misc_RNA from 1 species